AGAGUUCAUUAGUUUUUCCAUUAAAAACACUUUCUUAAAAUACUUAUGUAUUUUUAUCAUUUGGAAAGUGACAUGAAAUAUUGCUAAAGAGUGAUGCAUACAGUGUUUGAGCAGUCUGUCUAGGAAUAGAACAACAACUGAAGUUGAUGGAAGAUACUGCAGAGUUUGGCAGGGAAAUAAUCCAACAGCAAAGCGGCUCUUUAAGCGCAUUUACCUAGAGGACUUACAGGGCCACAAAUUCAUGAGCACAUGUGAGCAGUAUACUAUGUACCUCAUACCAAAAAGGACCCGGAGGCAGUGACUGGUGUUCAAUAUUCUCAGAAGAAAAGGAAAAUGGCAGUGGAAGACUUGGACAAACAUUUUUAAAAACUAGCCUCUGUGUUAAGCCUGGCAGUCUGUGGCUGGUGACAUGUUUUAUUUUGGUUACUUCUUGUAUAAAAAAGACCAGUUAUUUAUUUUGUGAAUUGUA